GAGCUCCCGUGUACGUCAUGUCGUGACUGUCGCCGCUUGUGACUGGGCGGAGAUGCGCUCGGUGGGGCAGCGCGGAGCUGCGGCUCGGCUCGUAACCGCACCGGGGCCUCUCGGCGUGCGUGACGCGUCGCACCCGCUUUUUGAAUGUUUCCAAGCUUUUACUUGGAUCAGGAUAACGUGGAAGUAUUUAGGGAUGUUCUGCCUUACGCUCUCGUUAACGUGUGUAGCGUUUCCUUAUAAGCAUCUCACUGGUUUAGUCAGUAACAGAAAAUUAAAUUUUAUAAGAAGAUGUCAUCUAGAAGACCUACUUUACGUGGAAAUCCGGACAAUUCCCCCGUACUGUUCAGAGUUUUUAGGCUAUAAAAUGCCAUCAGGGUGUAGACCCUCUUUUUCAGCACAGCCAACUAACAUUUCUUCUGACUUCUGCAAAAAUUGCAGAAGAAAGACUUGAGAGGAAGUACUGAGAAAGCUUUGAGCCAUGCAAGAUAAUAAAGGUAACACGGUAGACAGAAUUAAAAUUUUUGACAUGGAAUCAGCAGUUUAUAGGUUCAAGAAGCAAAGCAUGAAAAGAUGCAGAAUCAGAGAAAGGCGAGCAGAAAGAGCAACACUAAGGACUUUCAUCCUGAUGCAAGAAACAAUAGAGCCUGAUGGUCGACCACUUGUUUCAACCAGGACUCAUAAGACUCUUAAGGCAUGGUAAUAGUUGCCUGAAUGAAGUGACUUGGAGCAGGAAUGAGUGAAGGACAGAGAGAAGACUGAACUUCUUGCUGUACUCUUUUUUUUUUUUUUUUUUUUUAAGUGUUUUCUGCCCUUGCAUCUGUAUAGUUCUUAUUAUUGUGCACAUGCAAUGCUUGUGUUUUCAGAUUUUGGUCUUCUACUAGUAGCACUACUUAGUAAUAAUAAUUAUGGUGUGAUAUUUAUUAAAGCUGCAGUAUGCUUGAACACUG